GACGAACGCUGGCGGCGUGCCUAAUACAUGCAAGUCGAACGCAGUGGGGACGGGUUAGUAACACGUGGGUAACCUCCCAUCCAAGGGGCUAACACUUGGAAACAGGUGCUAAACCGAUAUUGAUGUAUGGACCCGCGGUGCAUUAGCUAGUUGGUGAGGUAACGGCUCACCAAGUCCACGAUGCAUAGCUGGCCGGAGAGGGUGAACAGCAACACGGGGAAUGAGACACGGCCCAGACUCCGACGGGAGGCAGCAGUAGGGAAUAUUGGGCAAUGGACGAAAGGCUGACGGAGCAACGCCGCGUGAGUGAAGAAGGUUUUCGGAUUGUAAAACACUGUUGGUAGAGAAGCGGUAUCUAACGAGAAAGCAACGGCUAACUACGUGCCAGCAGCCGCGGUAAUUC
rnacentral:rRNA from 1 species